GCCAGCGGCCAUGGCAGGGGAGGCACACCCGGUCCCAUCCCGAACCCGGAAGUUAAGCCCCCGAGCGCCGAUUGUACUGCGGG
rnacentral:rRNA from 1 species